ACAUUGUGUGCAGCUGGGGUGCUUUACCUGUGCUGCUGGGGUACCUCUUCCAGCUUAGUCCCAUCUGAAGGGAAUCCAGACUGUGCUCAGGGACUGCACAAGGAGUGGGGCAUUUGAGGAGCUGGCUCCAGAAACUCACUGCUACUCCAAACCUGGACACUGAUGGAGGUGCUAGCAGCAUGUGGAGCCGAGAGCAGUGAAAGCCCAAAGGAGUACUGCACACACUGAAGAGGUCACCAGGAGCGGUUGUGCAGGGUAUAUUCCUUUCCUGCUGCAGCUCUGGGUCGUUCCAUCCAGCAUGGACAAAAAGGCUGCACAGCGUUCAGAAGGCGUGGAGAACACUUGUCCAGUCAUAACUGAAACUAUUCAAGAUGCACAGGCCUGAAAUGUCACCUUAAGUUUCUGUUGCUCUCUGAUGUGGAUCCUGUCUUCUAGCAAACUUUAUGGACAACAGCUUUUGUUACAAGGAGAGAUGUUUUGAUCCUCUCCUUAAUGCAAGCCCCACACCUUCACCUAGAUUCCUUCCUGGGCAGCUGCAGUGGAUCUGAACACCAAGGGAAUUUGACCCACUGGAUUCCUUUCCUUUCUCUGCAGUUGAAUGAAAAGUGUGUGUCUUUUGAAGAAAUAUUGAUGACUGCCAGAGCAUCUACAGAAAAGGACAAGAAAAUUACUACAACAGUGGAGACAAAGGGGCUUUGUUAACUCUUUCUUGUAGGUUGUAUAUAUUAAUAGAAACAAGUAAAGUUUUGUAUUUUUUAAGAGAAACACACAAGGCUUUGAACUGUAUUGUUUUAAUUGCAGCUAACUGAAUGAAUUAAGUGGAAAAUUGCACACAGUACUUUGAUUGUCUAACUCUCUGUAUGUGAGGCUUUGGGAACAGUUUGUUAUUAUAAAAGAAUAGUACUAACAAGAAAACAGCCAGCAUGUAAUUGCUGGGUUGAGGGGCAGUUUGGGGAAGGCUGAUACUUAUUUAUAAAUUAUUAAAUAAAAGCACAUAAUAAGUGGAUCAUCUCUCACUGCCUCCACACUGCAUACAUUACUCAUCUUCCUAAAUUUCAUCUUUUUGUACUCCCUUAGUCCAUUGCUUCUUAUAACCAGUGCAGGCAUCAAAACCACCCACGUCCAGGAAAGGAGAUGCCUGUGCAUUUGUUAUGAUGGCAGUUUUGGUUAUGGGACUCAUCUAAGAAUAUGAACGUUCAGUUCAAGGACAGAAAUUUUGACUGGACUUUUAAAGGUUGUUUUACGUGCCUAAAUACACACGAGCACCUGGGACUCUUUUCAGGUAGCUUAAACUCUGGCCAGUGUUUCAACUCGACUAGGUACCUUUGCUGAUUUACAGCCAGCCUCUACCCUAAAUGGAAGGACUGAAGAGCAAUUUGGGCAUUAAAUUUACCAAGGUUCUCAAAAACACAUUGGUUAUGUAAUUCCCAUCAAUUUUGGUAAGAAAGAGGUAACUUCUGAUUAUCUUGUAUUGUUCUCACUGCUCACUAGUGCCUUACUACCUUAGGAAACACAGCCACUUGCAAGACACAGAGAGGAGGUCGGUGGUGGUUGGGCUCACCAAGAAGGUAGAACAGUAUUUCAUCCUCAAUGUUUUUGACUAUUUCAGCCCUCCUGGAGGAUGGAGAUGCCAUUCGUUCCUCCAGCAUAAA